AGGUUAUCAUACCUCAGUAUCAUGCCUGUAUGCUCUUUGUCCCUCACAACAUUGCUGACAACCAACAGGAGAUACAGAAAUUAUUAGGAGUUAGUUUUGGUCAUCCAGUAGUUGAGGUGGGUGGUCCCGGGGGCCACAGCCACCGCCACUCUGUCCAUUAUAAUGACAGCUACCUCCUGUUUGUAAAGUUUUCUGCAGCAGGAGAU